UGAGGCCGCGGCACGCUCCGUUUACUAAUAAAAUAAAUUUAAAAGAGUAAAAAGCAUAGUAACCUACUAUGCCAGUAUGCUAGCCAUACGAAAGGAAAAAUAAGUGCGUCUUAAGUCUGGACUUGGAAGUCUCUACACAAUCUGACUGUUAUAUUGACGCAGGGAGAUCAUUCCACAGAACAGGGGCACGAUAAGAGAAAGCUCUGUGACCCACAGACUUUUUUAUUCACCCUAGGGACACUAAUUAGGUUUGCACAAUAAGAAC